AACGCGAAGAACCUUACCUGGGCUCGAAAUGUAGUGGAAGUCAGCAGAAACGUUGGCGCCCGCAAGGGCCGCUAUAUAGGUGCUGCAUGGCUGUCGUCAGCUCGUGUCGUGAGAUGUUGGGUUAAGUCCCGCAACGAGCGCAACCCUCAUCUUUAGUUGCUAAGUCGCAAGACAGCACUCUAAAGAAACUGUCGGCCACAAGCCGAAGGAAGGUGGGGAUGACGUCAAGUCCUCACGGCCUUUAUGUCCAGGGCUACACACGUGCUACAAUGGGCGGAACAAAGCGCUGCAAACCCGCGAGGGGGAGCCAAUCGCAAAAAACCGCUCUCAGUUCGGAUUGCAGUCUGCAACUCGACUGCAUGAAGCUGGAAUCGCUAGUAAUCGCGGAUCAGCACGCCGCGGUGAAUACGUUCCCGGGCCUUGUACACACCGGUACUA
rnacentral:rRNA from 1 species